rnacentral:rRNA from 2 species
UUGUAAAGCACUUUAAGCGGAGGAGGGAGGCUACUGAGAUUAAUACUCUAGGAUAGUGGACGUUACUCGCAGAAUAAGCACCGGCUAACUCUGUGCCAGCAGCCGCGGUAAUACAGAGGGUGCGAGCGUUAAUCGGAUUUACUGGGCGUAAAGCGUGCGUAGGCGGCUUUUUAAGUCGGAUGUGAAAUCCCUGAGCUUAACUUAGGAAUUGCAUUCGAUACUGGGAAGCUAGAGUAUGGGAGAGGAUGGUAGAAUUCCAGGUGUAGCGGUGAAAUGCGUAGAGAUCUGGAGGAAUACCGAUGGCGAAGGCAGCCAUCUGGCCUAAUACUGACGCUGAGGUACGAAAGCAUGGGGAGCAAACAGGAUUAGAUACCCUGGUAGUCCAUGCCGUAAACGAUGUCUACUAGCCGUUGGGGCCUUUGAGGCUUUAGUGGCGCAGCUAACGCGAUAAGUAGACCGCCUGGGGAGUACGGUCGCAAGACUAAAACUCAAAUGAAUUGACGGGGGCCCGCACAAGCGGUGGAGCAUGUGGUUUAAUUCGAUGCAACGCGAAGAACCUUACCUGGUCUUGACAUAGUAAGAACUUUCCAGAGAUGGAUUGGUGCCUUCGGGAACUUACAUACAGGUGCUGCAUGGCUGUCGUCAGCUCGUGUCGUGAGAUGUUGGGUUAAGUCCCGCAACGAGCGCAACCCUUUUCCUUAUUUGCCAGCGGGUUAAGCCGGGAACUUUAAGGAUACUGCCAGUGACAAACUGGAGGAAGGCGGGGACGACGUCAAGUCAUCAUGGCCCUUACGACCAGGGCUACACACGUGCUACAAUGGUCGGUACAAAGGGUUGCUACCUAGCGAUAGGAUGCUAAUCUCAAAAAGCCGAUCGUAGUCCGGAUUGGAGUCUGCAACUCGACUCCAUGAAGUCGGAAUCGCUAGUAAUCGCGGAUCAGAAUGCCGCGGUGAAUACGUUCCCGGGCCUUGUACACACCGCCCGUCACACCAUGGGAAUUUGUUGCACCAGAAGUAGGUAGUCUAACCGCAAGGAGGACGCUACCACGGUGACCGUGCC